ensembl:lncRNA
CCCCGUCUGCUGCCGAGUAACUAGAUUGUAAAUAACGCGGCGAUGACCCACACCGGGCAGGAAUGUUAUUAUUUAUUUUUUUUUUUAAAGAAAACAAUCUGCCCUCCACUUCAAGGAGCGAUAAAAUGAAAUGGCAGGAGGGGAAGGAGGCAGGGAGAAGGAGACUAUCUCUAGAUCUUGAUGGAGCUCGCGUCUAUAAAUAUGCAUUCGUGUUUAGUCAAGUCCCCUUUGUCAACUUCUUCCCUGCGCUGGAACCUCACCCGCUGUCCUGGAAGCAUCACCUGGGCCCCUUGGCGCCCCCCACUCCCGUUUGCACGCGGGAAAGCCGGCGCGGAGGGCGCGCGUGGGGGUCUGCGGCUGUCCGCGGAACCUUCUGGGAGGCGAGCCGCCGUCCGCCCAGCGCCGAGGCUGGAGCGGCGAGUGGUUUGGUUUUUAAAGCGACCACUGCUCCCCCGAAGAGCCGCUCUGCGCCCGCGGGUCCCCGCCGACGGCACUCCGCACCCACCUACUCCUUGACCGGUGGGGAGGUGGGUGAGGGGGAGAAAAGUUUUGAGGCGCUCUCAUCUCUGCCUCUGGGGUGGUUGAAGUGGUUUGGUUUUGUGUGCCUAAAGCCCCAAAUCCCAAUGCCCAAGAACCGGAGAUUGAUGUUUAGAGGGGUCUCAACAAGGCUUGGCGGCUGGGCUUUGACUGCUAAGUCUGCGACCGUGGAGACGGCGCAGGAAGGCGAGAACAAGCCUCCCCGGAGUCUCAUACCCAUAGGAAGAAACUCCGAAGACGCGCCUCCACGGACUGAGCCGCGUCCCUCGGCACCCCCAGCAUUUCCCAGAGAGCAACACCACCACCCGGAGAUCAAUGACCAGCCUGUUUAUUCUUCACGCGCCUGGAAGGGCAGGGCACCGAAGGAGCAAGGGAGGGAGGCUUGGGGCUCGCCUGUGCGCGAUCUCUCGCAGACUUUUUUUCUAGCUGGUUUCUAAACGGCAGCGAACAAGCAAAGAGUGUUCCUUAAUGCACGCAACACAUACCAAUCACAAUAUAUUAGCCUAAAAAAGUGAGACAUCCUCUCUCCCCCCUUCCACCCUUUGUAGAUUUGUCUCUGGAGGCAACAGAACUUCCAACCAUUUAUGGUUAUUGAAACCACAUGGCCUUAAGACUAACCCAUGAUCAUUAUAGAGCAACAGCAUAGCUGAUCAAAAACCUCCAGUGGAAUGUUUGUUUGUGUUGGGCUUAAAAAAAUACCCAUAUUUGAAGCAGGACUGACACAUGAAAGAUCAGUGUUUCCAUUUAUCAAGCAUUUACUAUGUGCCUGGCUUUUGGCCAAAUGCUUUUUACCUAUUUUUUCCCUAUUUUUUUACCACAAACCUGCAAGAAAUAUUACAUC